CCCGCGGUCAGGUGCCACAGUGGGCCCUCCAGCAGCUCCAUGACGAACUCCUAGUUUCUCCGUUCUUUCGGAACUGGCCGGAACCCCGCUGCUUCCCCGCUACAGGAUCCGGCUCGGUAGGUAAGUGACUAGAAGGAAGAAGGAUAAAAGGGCCAGGACUGAUCUGAGGGCUAAUCCUGCAGCAACUUUUUGCCUCUGACCCUUCCAAGACAUCAAGAGUCUCAUCACAAACUAUAUGAAUGUCAUGCAUGGGAAAACCCAGGUAGUUCUGAUAAUUGAAGGAAAGAAGCUGGUGGAGGUCCAGGGAACUAUCUUAGAACCAUCAACUCAAAAGAACCAGGGGUGAUUUAGAGCAUCGCUACAAAAAUUAUGGAAGAAAUUGUCCAACCGAAGAACUCUUGACUGCUAUCACAUGUGAUCCAAGAAGCAGUGGUUGCCAACUUCCUUGAUGUUCCCAGCAAAUGUUCCUGAGGGGUGAUGGGCCAAGAUUGUUUCUAGAAAAAGUGCCCAGGACUCGACUGGUGUUGGUGCCCCAAAGUCCUUCAGAUGCUUUUUUCCCUAUAUUUUCCUGGAAUCUUCCUUGACUAACUGGGUACUAAUUUCUGGUCUCUUAACUUCUAUUAAAGGACCUAUGUUGGAGCUAGUGGGAUUUAUGUUCAUAGGUCAUUUAAGACUCAUCUUUAAGGCAAGGGCCAGAGUUGGUUUCUUUGGGGAUCCUUUGAAGGGCCAGAGUCUAGUCAGGUUGAGGAAAGCUGAGCCUUUGCAGUGUGGCAAGCUGCUCAACUGUCUAAUUUCUAUUUGCAAAAAUAAAUAAAUAAAAUGUUAUUUGUGUGAUCUCUCUCUGUCUGAGAAAAGGGUACAUACCUUUUCACUGAUCUAUGAACUUUGUCUUUGGAUAUAUAAAAAUGGGCCUUCUCUGGGAACUCUUCCCUUGUCCCAUCACUUGCCUCUCUGUUCUUCACAUCCACAAGCCCACAAUCAUAUUCUGCCCUUUUUCCUGCCCCCCAUACCGUUUUUUUUGUCAGAAGUUUGUGAGUCCUGACUCUGCUUUCUAGCUGUAUGAUGGAUAAAGUAAUCACCCUGAGCCUGUCUGCCCCGUAUAUA